CCUACGGGUGGCAGCAGUAGGGAAUAUUGCGCAAUGGGGGAAACCCUGACGCAGCAACGCCGCGUGGAGGAUGAAGGUUUUCGGAUUGUAAACUCCUUUUGUUAGAGAAGAUAAUGACGGUAUCUAACGAAUAAGCACCGGCUAACUCCGUGCCAGCAGCCGCGGUAAUACGGGGGGUGCGAGCGUUACUCGGAAUCACUGGGCGUAAAGAGCGCGUAGGCGGGAUAGCAAGUCAGAUGUGAAAUCCUAGGGCUUAACCAUAGAACUGCAUUUGAAACUGUUAUUCUAGAGUAUGGGAGAGGUAGGUGGAAUGCUUGGUGUAGGGGUAAAAUCCGUAGAGAUCAAGAGGAAUACUCAGUGCGAAGGCGACCUGCUAGAACAUAACUGACGCUGAUGCGCGAAAGCGUGGGGAGCAAACAGGAUUAGAUACCCGGUAGUC
rnacentral:rRNA from 1 species